GUGAGGAAUAUUGGGCAAUGGGCGAAAGCCUGACGCAGCCAUGCCGCGUGAAUGAUGAAGGUCUUAGGAUUGUAAAAUUCUUUCACCGGGGACGAUAAUGACGGUACCCGGAGAAGAAGCCCCGGCUAACUUCGUGCCAGCAGCCGCGGUAAUACGAAGGGGGCUAGCGUUGCUCGGAAUUACUGGGCGUAAAGGGCGCGUAGGCGGACAGUUUAGUCAGAGGUGAAAGCCCAGGGCGCAACCUUGGAAUUGCCUUUGAUACUGGCUGUCUUGAGUACGUGAGAGGUGAGUGGAACUCCGAGUGUAGAGGUGAAAUUCGUAGAUAUUCGGAAGAACACCAGUGGCGAAGGCGACUCACUGGCCCGUUACUGACGCUGAGGCGCGAAAGCGUGGGGAGCAAACAGGAUUAGAUACCCGAGUAGUCC
rnacentral:rRNA from 1 species